UCGGGCCAACGGACGGCCGCCGGCCCGUUGUCCGCCGCCCCCGCCCGGCCGGCUCCACGCGAGGCCCGGGGGCGCGCGGGCAGCGGGGCUGCGCGGACCUCACGCCCGGCCGGGCGGCCCGCCGCCGCCUCCCCCCAGCCCCAGCUCCCCGCCCCCCGCCGUCCUCGGAGUGUGGGGGGGGGCACCCGGGCCCCGCCCCGCCCCCUUCCCCGGACUCUCAGCUGCUCCCGGGACGCGCCUUCCGCUCCCACGCCCGGCGCGCCGGCCGGACCCUGCCGGCGGCCGCGCUCCCCGCGCUCGCCGGCUGGGGCGGGACUUGGGCGGCACGUAGGGCUCGCGUGUGCGGGCUCCGCGCCGCCGGGGCCUGUCACCGCGCUGCCGGCGAGGUCCUCGCUCGGGCCCCUCCCCGCCCGCGGCACGGUGGGGAGCGCGUCCGCGAGGUUUUGUAGGUUGUUGCGAACCCUCUACGUUUGGGGGAGUGUCCUUAGGUGUGUGUCGGUGGAGACGGGUCGGGGAGCUGCCCAGCUGCGGACGUGUGUCCCGGGAUUAAUGCCGCGAGUGCUCGAAGUGUCCGCUCGCUUUCCGGUGCGUGGCAGGCGGCCCGCUUCCUUUCCCGGGGAGGAGAGGUUCUGGAAGGCCGGAGGGACGAGGGCAGAAGGGACUUGCCUGCGUGUCGAAGUCUGCUCUUCCUCGCUUGUGGCCGUAGGACGCUGCGAGUCCGCGUCCGGUUACUUGAUGCCCGUGUCCCCUGGUUCAGCCUCCGGGGCGGUGGAGGGACGUGCGAGUGAUCCUGCCGGCGCUUACACUAGUUCCACGUUGUGGGACACCCCCCCCGCCCCCACCCCCACCGUAGGGCUGUGGCGGCUGUGGGGAUGGAGCCUCACGUGAGUGGGUGAAUGGGUGGCUGACUGCGAGGGGAAGGCUGGGCCGGCGCGGCUGCGAGGGAGCCCUCGGGGAGCUACCGGAGUUGCGCGGCUCCGGGACUCGGGCCGGCAGGGCAGAGGCUGCUGCUCUGCGUUUCCGAGUGCUCGUGGACGUCGGGGCACUUUGCGUUCAGUGAAGAGACAAGAAGCGUGGAGAAGGGGAGGAGGCUGCCAUUGCUCUUCUGUUGGAGCCCGGACCCUUUCUCUUCUGGGAGAGCCACAGACUUGAACAGAAUCUCCGGUAUUGCACAGCUGA